UACGAAGGGGGGCUAGCGUUGCUCGGAAUUACUGGGCGUAAAGGGCGCGUAGGCGGCACUGUUAGUCAGGCGUGAAAUUCCUGGGCUCAACCUGGGGACUGCGCUUGAUACGGCAGAGCUUGAGGAUGGAAGAGGGUCGCGGAAUUCCCAGUGUAGAGGUGAAAUUCGUAGAUAUUGGGAAGAACACCGGUGGCGAAGGCGGCGACCUGGUCCAUUACUGACGCUGAGGCGCGACAGCGUGGGGGAGCAAACAGG
rnacentral:rRNA from 1 species